UGCUGUCAAAUUUUUUUUUAACAUUUGAAUUUAAUUAUAUAAUUAUUUGUAUAAAAUUGUGUAGAUGCGUAGAAUGAAAUCCAGUGCUGGUCGCUCACGUACGGUCGCAGCUUGUUCGUCUAGCAGCGAUGAUGAUAUUUUCUUAGGUGCCUCUCAAGAAGAGGCACCUACACCACCUGCGCCGUCAACCGAUGCUGCCUCUUCCAGCGCUACUUCACAGCGUAAAGGCGGGGUGCCUUCGCAGCGGAAUCAAUUUUCCCGCAAGUACGAGGCAUAGUGGAAGGACGACCUUUCAAUUUCACAAACAUUGAGGCCGCCCGAGUAAUAUCAUCGGCGUUUAAAUCAUUGAUGGAGAUUCCAUUAUUUCAAUGGAGUCAGAUAUCCAAGCAUCUUGAAUGGAUGCCUCAAAUCAAUGCAUGGUUUGACAGAUUUCAGCACAAAUUCUGCUGGGACAGUGAGCAUAACACUGUUGUGAGGAGGGUGUGGGAAAAUCACGCGGCAAUUAGGUUGCGUGAUUUUUGGUAUGAAGCAUAAAAAAGGGCAAAAAAAACCGCGAGGGAUAGGGGUUUCCAAGGCUGGAACGAUGUUGCGGUUUGGAGGGAUUUCAAACCGAUAUACAUCUCGGAAGAUAUAUGGCCGCACUAUCUUGAGCACGUGACAUCUGAGCGGUUCACACGACGCUCACAAUUCGGUGAUGGCAACCGGAAUCGGCCAAUUCAUGGCUCGGUGACAACGCACACUGGCGGCUCCGUUCUGUUUGCUGCACAUACAAAACGGAUGGCUGCGUCUCUUGGACGUGAGCCGAGCCCGAUGGAGCUGUCUGUGGAGACACACGUGCGGAGUCAAGACCGCCAAAAGGGGGCGCAAUAGUUCGUUGAUAACCGUGCUCAACAUUUCGUGGAGACCUAUAAUAAUCGGUUGAGGAAGAGAUACGGGGAUGAUAUUUUGACCCAUCCGGAAUUCGAUCCGGAUUUGUGGAUGGAGGUUGGAUCGUCAGGUGGACCCGAUAAAAAUCAGGUUUACGGGCUCUCCAACACUACGGCCGACAACUUGCGGUCGACCCGUAGUGUUUCAACUGUUGGGAGCUCCCAAUCAAUAUCGAGCUCCCAAUCUAAGGAGUUCGUGGCCUUGCAGCAACACACGGCUCAGCUCACCGAAAAAUACGACCACCUAUCAGCGGAGUACGCACAACUCAAAGCGUCUCAUGCAGAACAAAGAGCGGAGUACUAAGAGCUUCGCGAAAUGGUCAUGAACAUGGCAACACAGAGUGGAACGUGUGCGCCUAAUCCUUUUUGGCCGCAUAACCGCCAGCCUCCUCCAGGACCUCCUCCUCCUCCAGCUCCACCUUUAUAUUAAUUUGUAAUAAACAUUA